CUCAAUUUUAUUAAUCUCAUGUUAUCCUUUAUGUCACAUGACCAGCUUGUUCUCAUUUGAGCUCUAUGAACUCAUCACGGGCAAGCAUAUGGCUGGAAAAGAAGGAUUUUGGGUUGAGUGACAAAAAAUGGGAAUGGGGGAGCCAUUAUGUGGAUGAAUGAAGACAGCAGAAGCAAUUUGUCAGCCUGACCUGUUUGAACCAGGAUCAGCUUCCCAAGAGAACAGUGGGUGAUGGCCUUGAAAGAUCCUUGCCCUGAGAGCAUUAUCAAAGAGCUGGAAAAGUGAAACAAAUGGAAGAGACUCCUAGCAGAGCACAAGCUUCCCUGCUCCAGGCUCAGUCUCCCACCUGAUGAAGUACAUGGCAGCUCCUGACUGAAUCCAGAGGGAAGAGAUGUUUUUCCCUAGUAUCUGCAAUGAUCAAUGAGGAACUGGAGCAGAGUGCCUGCAGCUCUUGCUGAAGAAAGCAGACCAGGCAGCACCGAACUGGACUACCAAGAACUGUGGGCUUUUAUAUGGGCUCAGCAAGGUCGUUCAUUACCUCAGCAGAUG